rnacentral:rRNA from 1 species
AACCGGGCCGCGCCCAGCAAUGCAAGUCGUGCGAGAAAGGGCUUCGGCCCCAGUAAAGCGGCGCACGGGUGAGUAACACGUAGGUAAUCUGCCCUCGAGUGGUGGACAACCCUCCGAAAGGAGGGCUAAUACAACGUAAGACCACGAGUCCACGGACUCGCGGCCAAAGCGGGCCUCUGCAUGCAAGCUCGCGCUUGAGGAUGAGCCUGCGGCCCAUCAGCUAGUUGGUAGGGUAACGGCCUACCAAGGCAGAGACGGGUAGCUGGUCUGAGAGGAUGAACAGCCACACUGGAACUGAGACACGGUCCAGACUCCUACGGGAGGCAGCAGUGGGGAAUCUUGCGCAAUGGGCGAAAGCCUGACGCAGCGACGCCGCGUGAGCGAUGAAGGCCUUCGGGUUGUAAAGCUCUGUGGGGAGGAAAGAAUAAGGGCGAGCUAAUACCUCGUCCGAUGACGGUACCUCCUUAGCAAGCACCGGCUAACUCUGUGCCAGCAGCCGCGGUAAGACAGAGGGUGCAAACGUUGUUCGGAAUUACUGGGCGUAAAGCGCGUGUAGGCGGCCACGCCAGUCGGAUGUGAAAGCCCUCGGCUCAACCGAGGAAGUGCAUCCGAUACUACGUGGCUAGAGUCCUGGAGAGGAAGGUGGAAUGCUCGGUGUAGAGGUGAAAUUCGUAGAUAUCGAGCGGAACACCUGUGGCGAAGGCGGCCUUCUGGACAGUGACUGACGCUGAGACGCGAAAGCGUGGGGAGCAAACACGAUUAGAUACCCUGGUAGUCCACGCUGUAACGAUGAGUGCUAGUGUCACGGGCUUUGACCCUUGGUGGGUGCCGAAGGCUAACGGCGUUAAGCCACCUCCCGG